GGGUUAUCACUUCCAUCCCUCGACCAGGACUGCCUCAGGCUCUCCACUGCUUCUUCUAAUUCUUCCUUUUUCCGCAGCGUAUCCUGGAGCGCCUGACGAAGUCGCCGACUUUCAGCCUCCGCUUCUCGACGCUGCUUCCGCAGAACUUCGGACUCCGUCUCUGUGUCCGCGACGGCCCUCCGCUCAAGCGCCAGUUGGAUGCUCACUUGUUGAAG
rnacentral:lncRNA from 1 species